rnacentral:rRNA from 1 species
ACGGGAGGCAGCAGUAGGGAAUCUUCCGCAAUGGACGAAAGUCUGACGGAGCAACGCCGCGUGAACGAAGAAGGCCUUCGGGUCGUAAAGUUCUGUUGUUAGGGAAGAACAAGUACCAGAGUAACUGCUGGUACCUUGACGGUACCUAACCAGAAAGCCACGGCUAACUACGUGCCAGCAGCCGCGGUAAUACGUAGGUGGCAAGCGUUGUCCGGAAUUAUUGGGCGUAAAGCGCGCGCAGGUGGUUCCUUAAGUCUGAUGUGAAAGCCCACGGCUCAACCGUGGAGGGUCAUUGGAAACUGGGGAACUUGAGUGCAGAAGAGGAAAGUGGAAUUCCAAGUGUAGCGGUGAAAUGCGUAGAGAUUUGGAGGAACACCAGUGGCGAAGGCGACUUUCUGGUCUGUAACUGACACUGAGGCGCGAAAGCGUGGGGAGCAAACAGGAUUAGAUACCCUGGUAGUCCACGCCGUAAACGAUGAGUGCUAAGUGUUAGAGGGUUUCCGCCCUUUAGUGCUGCAGCUAACGCAUAAGCA